rnacentral:rRNA from 1 species
CCCUUAGAUGUUCUGGGCUGCACGCGCGCUACACUGAAGCUAUCAACGCGUUUUCCCUCCCUGAGAAGGGCGGGUAACCUUUUGAAUCAGCUUCGUGGUAGGGAUCGGGGCUUGCAAUUGUUCCCCGUGAACCAGGAAUUCCUAGUAGACGCGAGUCAUAAGCUCGCAUCGAUUAAGUCCCUGCCCUUUGUACACACCGCCCGUCGCUACUACCGAUUGAACGUUUUAGUGAGGCAUUUGGACCGACGCAUCUCAGUUUAACCGCUGGUUUGUGUUGGAAAGACUUCCAAACUUGAGCGUUUAGAGGAAGUAAAAGUCGUAACA